UUCUUUUGGCUAGGCUAUGUUGUUUCUAGAUUUCAGUCACGAUAAUAUUGAUGGUUUCAAGUCGAAAUACACGGAAGUUGCUGGCUUAUACAAAGGAAAGGAUUAAACUUUCUUCUGGGUGAUCUUAAAGCUAGUCAAGCUGCCUUGCAGUAUUUUGGACUUAAAGAGGACCAAUCACAUGUUCUUAUUGUACAAAACACUAAUGGUCUCAAGUUCAUCAACUCAAACG